UACGAAGGGGGCUAGCGUUGCUCGGAAUCACUGGGCGUAAAGGGUGCGUAGGCGGGUUUUUAAGUCAGGGGUGAAAUCCUGGAGCUCAACUCCAGAACUGCCUUUGAUACUGAAGAUCUUGAGUCCGGGAGAGGUGAGUGGAACUGCGAGUGUAGAGGUGAAAUUCGUAGAUAUUCGCAAGAACACCAGUGGCGAAGGCGGCUCACUGGCCCGGAACUGACGCUGAGGUGCGAAAGCGUGGGGAGCAAACAGG
rnacentral:rRNA from 1 species